rnacentral:lncRNA from 1 species
UUAAUUGGCUUCUACUUUUUCGGCAGCAGGACAAUAAAUGGGUGGGAAAUGAUGAUUCCUCUGGCUUUCUUUGCUGGAACCCGGGUAAUUUCCUUUUCUAUCCUUGUUGUCUUGGAUGAUGGAUCACGGAAGUGAUGGAACCCAUGUGCCGUAUUGUGAGCAAUUUCAUGCCACGUUCCUUCCGCUCCGUGGCUCACCAUAGAUAGGGUUUGGUUGGUAUUCAAAAUAUGAGGUCUAGAACACCAAUCGACUGAGUCAUUUGUGGCAAACUCAGAGAUUGCUUUUCGAUGGUAUUAUUAUUAUUAUUUACGGCGGUUCAUCAAAUUUUGAAAAUAAUACUUUGUCAACCUAAAUAAGGAUGUUGAUGGAUGACCUUAUCUUAGGGUCCGUUGCAAUAUGCAUCUCAAACGUAUUCCUAGUCCGUGAUAUCUUCAAAGAGACUUAACACCAUAAAUUUUGAAAUGAAAGAUACUAGAAUGCCAUCGUACAGAGCACUUCCUUUAAGAAUGGUUUAUAGGUUGAGAGAAAGAUUUACUUCAUUCCUUUUUCCUGACAUAGACUUAUCUUUUAUAUUCAUACAUAAGACAGACAGACAGACAUGGUUCCAAUAAUAAUAUUUGGAACUCCAUCAACAUGGGGCGAGGCCCUAGGUUAGGUAUGCCGAAUGAGUGGGACAAAAAAGAGUAAUGAGAGACGGGUCCAGCAGGAGAAAUUAGGACCAGUACUAGAAAUAUGGGUGAAUGGAAAAUGGUGAAGUUGGUGAAUGAUGUGUCUUUCUUCAUUGGGUUGCAUUUUGCCAAGAAAGUUCAAGUAAUCUUUAACCUGCCGACAAGCUUUCGAGUUUCAACAUCAAUAGGACAAUUAUUUCUUUCGUGUCAAAAGAAGCCACUUGCUGACAAAAUUUUUGUAUUCUUGAUUGAUCAAAUAGGAUAGGAUCUACACAUAAAAUACCAUUUCUAAUUAGAUAUAAUAUUCUUGAUUAUAUUUAUAUUUGGUUUGUAAAUAAAAUAAAAAAAAAUAUAACGGUAACCCAAGUUUAUAAAAUCCAAACUUCAUUCAUAUAUUUAAAAAUAGUUAGAAUUUUUUUUUACUUUUAGCUCAAAGGUAUUGCUAAUUUUGACAUUUAAGUGUUACCUUUUAAUGAUACAGAGUGAGGGUGGCAAACGAGCUGGGUGCAGGCAAUGGAAAAGGAGCCAAGUUUGCAACGAUUGUAGCAGUGACCACAUCCAUUGUGAUCGGCCUCUUCUUCUGGCUACUCAUUAUCUUCUUCCACAAUGAGCUUGCCC